rnacentral:rRNA from 1 species
UACGUAGGGUGCGAGCGUUGUCCGGAUUUAUUGGGCGUAAAGAGCUCGUAGGCGGUUUGUCGCGUCGGCCGUGAAAUCUCCACGCUUAACGUAGAGCGUGCGGUCGAUACGGGCAGACUUGAGUUCGGUAGGGGAGACUGGAAUUCCUGGUGUAGCGGUGAAAUGCGCAGAUAUCAGGAGGAACACCGGUGGCGAGGGCGGUUCUCUGGGAAUAUCCUGACGCUGAGGAGCGAAAGUGUGGGGAGCGAACAGG